CUUGGCAGCUCUAGAGAGUGGGGUACACCUGUUCCCAUUCCGAACACAGAAGUUAAGCCACUCUUCGCCGAUGGUACUGCUACUUGAGUAGUGGGAGAGUAGGGCGCUGUCAAGA
rnacentral:rRNA from 1 species